GACGAACGCUGGCGGCGUGCCUAAUACAUGCAAGUCGAACGCUGAAGGAGGAGCUUGCUUCUCCGGAUGAGUUGCGAACGGGUGAGUAACGCGUAGGUAACCUGCCUGGUAGCGGGGGAUAACUAUUGGAAACGAUAGCUAAUACCGCAUAAGAGUAGAUGUUGCAUGACAUUUGCUUAAAAGGUGCAAUUGCAUCACUACCAGAUGGACCUGCGUUGUAUUAGCUAGUUGGUGGGGUAACGGCUUACCAAGGCGACGAUACAUAGCCGACCUGAGAGGGUGAUCGGCCACACUGGGACUGAGACACGGCCCAGACUCCUACGGGAGGCAGCAGUAGGGAAUCUUCGGCAAUGGACGGAAGUCUGACCGAGCAACGCCGCGGGAGUGAAGAAGGUUUUCGGAUCGUAAAGCUCUGUUGUAAGAGAAGAACGAGUGUGAGAGUGGAAAGUUCACACUGUGACGGUAUCUUACCAGAAAGGGACGGCUAACUACGUG
rnacentral:rRNA from 1 species